UACGGGGGGGGCAAGCGUUGUUCGGAAUUACUGGGCGUAAAGGGCUCGUAGGUGGCCAACUAAGUCAGACGUGAAAUCCCUCGGCUUAACCGGGGAACUGCGUCUGAUACUGGAUGGCUUGAGUUUGGGAGAGGGACGCGGAAUUCCAGGUGUAGCGGUGAAAUGCGUAGAUAUCAGGAGGAACACCGGUGGCGAAGGCGGGUCUCUGGGCAAUAACUGACGCUGAGGAGCGAAAGCGUGGGGAGCGAACAGG
rnacentral:rRNA from 1 species